GACGAACGCUGGCGGCGUGCUUAACACAUGCAAGUCGAACGCUGAAGCUCAGCUUUUGUUGGGUGGAUGAGUGGCGAACGGGUGAGUAACACGUGAGUAACCUGCCCCCUUCUUUGGGAUAACGCCCGGAAACGGGUGCUAAUACUGGAUAUUCACUGGUCUUCGCAUGGGGGUUGGUGGAAAGGGUUUUUCUGGUGGGGGAUGGGCUCGCGGCCUAUCAGCUUGUUGGUGGGGUGAUGGCCUACCAAGGCUUUGACGGGUAGCCGGCCUGAGAGGGUGACCGGUCACAUUGGGACUGAGAUACGGCCCAGACUCCUACGGGAGGCAGCAGUGGGGAAUAUUGCACAAUGGGCGCAAGCCUGAUGCAGCGACGCCGCGUGAGGGAUGGAGGCCUUCGGGUUGUGAACCUCUUUCGCUCAUGGUCAAGCCGCAACAAUGGUUGCGGUGAGGGUAGUGGGUAAAGAAGCGCCGGCUAACUACGUG
rnacentral:rRNA from 1 species